rnacentral:lncRNA from 1 species
GUAAAUACAUCAAAUUAAGCCAGGCAUGGUGGCACACGCCUGUAAUCCCAACAGCUCACAGCUCAGGAGGCUGAGGCAGAAGGAGAAGAGAGUUCAAAGCCAGCCUUAGCAAUUUAGUGAGGUCCUAAGCAGCUUAGCAAGAUCCUAUCUCAAAAUAAAAAGAAAAUGGGCUAGGGUUGUGGCUCAGUAGCUAAGCACCCCUGGGUUAAUCCCUGGUACCAAAAAAAAAAAAAAAAAAAUAGAAUCAAUCAAAUUAAAUACGGUUGUUUUCUGUAUAAUAUUUCAUUCAACAACAGGCAGCAUAUUCAAUGAUGGUUCCAUAGAUUAUAAUGGAGCUGAAAAAUUUCUUUCACCUAGUGAUGUUCUAGCAUUGUAUCAUCAUGGUGCAUUACUCAAGUGUUUAUAGGAAUACUGGUGUUAACAAACCUACUGCACUGUCAGUUACGUACAAGUAUAGCAAUUAUGUGUUGUACAAGAUAUUUUAAAAUGACAAUAAACAACAAUGUUACUAGCUUGUGUAUUUACCAUACUAUGAUUUUUGUUAUUUUAGUGUGUACUCCUACUUCAGAAAAAAAAAGGCUUACUGUAAAACAAUAUGCUGUGUGAUACUGCCACCAACCACAUACAUCUCGUGUAUAUUGCACCACUUGAUUUCAUCAAAAGGCAACAUGCCAUGAUUGACCUAUACCAUCUAGAUCAGCAUGUUUUAUCAACUGGGGUAUCAGCAGAAAACAGAAGGCUUUCUCAAUAUGAUCACCAAAGAGUUUAAUGAAGGACUGCUAUUUCUGUAGGUGUGGCAAAGUUAAGGUAACAAAUGAGAAAUCAGCAAAGGACUCAUCCUGGGAGUGUAUCACUACCCUGAGGCUGAAGGAGCAACAGUAAAACUGAGGUUGUGGGAAAAAGGCUUCCUGGCAGGAAUUUCGGUGAAGGAACACACACCCAGUGGUCUGGCAGGGAGGGAGCUGGGGCAAUAAACACCUGACACCUCUCUCCUCCUGAUCUCAACAUGUCUCUCUCCAGUUCUUCUAUUAGCAUAACUGAU